ensembl:lncRNA
GAUAUGUGCAUGUGUAGGCUUGUAUGCAAGUAAAAUAUUUGAAUGCAUAUUCCUUGAUAAGUAUGGGUAUACAUUAUGUUGUAAUUCAACUGAGAUGUAAUGAGUACAUGCUAUGAGCCAAACAUUUAACUAGUAGUUGUGAUGUAGCAGCAACUCGGUGUAAUCUUAGAUCACAUCAGUCUGUCAUCUGGUGGGAGACAGAAUAAACAGAGAAUUACUUGUAUGAAUGUGUUUCUUUUAGGAAGUUGCAUAUUGGUGCAAAUAUAAACCUAACUGGAUAUAUGGAACACAUAACCCGCAUUGAUUUAUCCAUUCACUCAACAAGGCUAUCUUUAGAAGUAUAUCAAUUCCUGGUUCAGGGGCAAACAUCCUCUUAUUGUGGAUUCUAUAUUUGAAUAAAUUCAGAAAGAUGUGCAAUAUUUUCCAAGACUGAACUUCCACACAUGUUCAUCUGUAACCCAGUCCCCCGCAGUUAGUAGAUAAGUGACUUUGAGCACAUUAUUUAACCUCUACUUAAUCUCAUCUGUGAAAUAGAGGAUAAUGAUGCCUACCUCUUAGGGUUUCUAUUAGGAUUAAGAAAUACAUUGUAUGUUAAAAGCUUAGCUCAAGCACAUUGGAAGACCUCAAUCCCUGCCAGCUAUUAUUACUCAGCAUGGGGGUGGAGGAGUGGCAGGCCAGCAGCAAUUACACUCUGACGUUUUUUCUACUGGAGAUAUGUUAGAGACAACCUCCAGGUUCUUCAAGUCAUUAUCUCUCUCAGGGAGGAGCACAGAGACAAAACAUGAAUGGGGUCAGAAAAGGUACUAUCUGCCUCAUUGUUCUAAGUGUCACUCUCCAUUAGCAUAAAGUUAGCACUCCAGGUGGGCGAGAAACACUUCUCUGUUUCCAGAAAACUAGAAAUGUUCUUUUUCUUGAGCAUGCCUGGUUUCAGAAUGGAAACUGUGACAAAAUACCAAGCAGAGCCCUGGAUGACAGGUGAAUGGGUCCAGAACAACUCUCAAGAGAAGAGUGCUUGGCAUUUCAACACCUGCACAAUACAGCCGUAAAUAACCUAAAGUCCUUGAUCACACAGAACUUGAAAAUUGGUUGGGAGGCAGAAAAAUCAACUAAGGAAUAAAUGAAAAAGAAAAAGGAAAGGUAGUAGUAAG